UUGGGGUUCUUCGUAUUUCUCCUACAUUUCAUCCUACAUGUAACCUUGGAGGAAAGAUUUGCUUAAACUUAGUGAUGUAACAACAGAAAUCUCUGUCCGCACGCAACCGUUGGCACAACCACCCCGAGCACUGCCAUGAAAUAGUGCUCAAGAUUUGGGAAGGCCUCAUUACCAGGUGAAUGAACUGCCAUGGCUGCCGACAUGAACGUUAAGGUUGGCUAGCGUCAUGGUGCGAGUGGACUGACCGAUGAAAUCUCCAAAGUGAAGAGGCGAGUUGCAUCAUAACUCUCACAGACCUCCUCAUAUAAAAGCUGUGGGCAGGCCCCAGGAGAAGCAGACCAUGAUGCUAAUGAGAAGAGCGCCCUCGCCUCCUUCAACCUGGAAAGAAGGAAGAUGGAGGACGAGAUCCUAUGGGACUUCACAGAGAUGAUUCAUGAGAAUGUCAAGGAAAGGAAGUAACUCGGCUAGAUGCCAGUCCUCGCCUCCAUCACUGAGGAGGAACAGUUUCCAAGAUUGAAUGAGGGACCCUCAUCAGAAUCUUAGG